rnacentral:rRNA from 1 species
UACAGAGGUCUCAAGCGUUGUUCGGAUUCAUUGGGCGUAAAGCGCGCGUAGGUGGCCUCAUAAGUCCGCUGUGAAAGUCAAAGGCUCAACCUUUGAAAGCCGGUGGAUACUGUGGGGCUAGAGUACGGAAGAGGCGAGUGGAAUUCCUGGUGUAGCGGUGGAAUGCGCAGAUAUCAGGAGGAACACCAAUAGCGAAGGCAGCUCGCUGGGACGUUACUGACACUGAGGCGCGAAAGCGUGGGGAGCGAACAGG